UACAGAGGUCUCAACCGUUGUUCGGAUUCAUUGGGCGUAAAGAGCUCGUAGGCGGUUCGUCGCGUCGGCUGUGAAAACCUGAGGCUCAACCUCAGGCCUGCAGUCGAUACGGGCGGACUUGAGUACUGCAGGGGAGACUGGAAUUCCUGGUGUAGCGGUGAAAUGCGCAGAUAUCAGGAGGAACACCGGUGGCGAAGGCGGGGCUCUGGGCCGUAACUGACGCUGAGGAGCGAAAGCGUGGGGAGCGAACAGG
rnacentral:rRNA from 1 species